rnacentral:rRNA from 1 species
AGUUGGAAUAAUAUUGGGAUGAGAAUUAAAACUUCACAAUUAAGCACGCUUGAGUUGGAAUAAUAUUGGGAUGGGUAACCUCUCAAGAAGUCCUAGUAUUGCACCCU